UUUGUUAUGAUGAUAACCUAACUCAGCUCACUCAGAGUUCUCUGAACUAUGCUGAUAAACUUCCUAUUUCCAACUCAUCAAAUUCUGAUUUCUAC
rnacentral:snoRNA from 1 species